rnacentral:tRNA from 1 species
GACUGGAUAGCUCAGUCAGUAGAGCAUCAGGCUUUUAAUCUGCGGGUCCAGGGUUCAAGUCCCUGUACAGGCG